rnacentral:rRNA from 1 species
AUUGAACGCUGGCGGCAGGCCUAACACAUGCAAGUCGAGCGGAUGAAGGGAGCUUGCUCCUGGAUUCAGCGGCGGACGGGUGAGUAAUGCCUAGGAAUCUGCCUGGUAGUGGGGGAUAACGUCCGGAAACGGGCGCUAAUACCGCAUACGUCCUGAGGGAGAAAGAGGGGGAUCUUCGGACCUCACGCUAUCAGAUGAGCCUAGGUCGGAUUAGCUAGUUGGUGGGGUAAAGGCCUACCAAGGCGACGAUCCGUAACUGGUCUGAGAGGAUGAUCAGUCACACUGGGACUGAGACACGGUCCAGACUCCUACGGGAGGCAGCAGUAGGGAAUCUUGGACAAUGGGCGAAAGCCUGAUCCAGCCAUGCCGCGUGUGUGAAGAAGGUCUUCGGAUUGUAAAGCACUUUUAGUUGGGAGGAAGGGCAGUAAGUUAAUACCUUGCUGUUUUGACGUUACCAACAGAAUAAGCACCGGCUAACUUCGUG